rnacentral:rRNA from 1 species
CGCAAGCCUGACGGAGCCAGACCGCGUGGGGGAGGAAGGCCCUUGGGUUGUAAACCCCUUUUCUCAGGGAAGAAACCUGACGGUACCUGAGGAAAAAGCCUCGGCUAACUCCGUGCCAGCAGCCGCGGUAAUACGGAGGAGGCAAGCGUUAUCCGGAAUUACUGGGCGUAAAGCGUCCGUAGGGGGCUCGUCAAGUCUGCUGUCAAAGGUCGGAGCUUAACUCCGGUAGAGCAGUGGAAACUGGUGCGCUAGAGGGCGACAGGGGUAGAGGGAAUUCCCAGUGUAGCGGUGAAAUGCGUAGAGAUUGGGAAGAACACCGGUGGCGAAAGCGCUCUACUGGGUCGUACCUGACCCUCAGGGACGAAAGCUAAGGGAGCG